UCGUGCUAAGCGGGGAGGUAGCGGUGCCCUGUACUCGCAAUCCGCUAUAGCGAGGUUGAAUUCCCAUCCGAGGUGAGGCGUCUUUAUGGACUGCCUUAUGGGAUUGGUGUUGACGCUUAGGUCCUGCGCAACAGGAACCCAUGAAUUCUGUCAGGUCCGGAAGGAAGCAGCAGUAAGUGGUAUUUUCUGUGUGCCGCGGGGAAGCCUGGGCAGAGCCAUGAACGUAAGUAACGCGUAGGGACGUCGCAUCAACGAUGGGUGCACGG
rnacentral:SRP_RNA from 1 species